AAGCGGAGGAAAAGAAACCAACAGGGAUUGCCUCAGUAACGGCGAGUGAAGCGGCAAAAGCUCAAAUUUGAAAUCUGGCACCUCUGGUGUCCGAGUUGUAAUUUGGAGAGGCAUCUUCCGGAGGGGCCCAGCCUAUGUUCCUUGGAACAGGACAUCGCAGAGGGUGAGAAUCCCGUUCAUGGCUGGAUGUACCCUUCAGUCGGUAGUGCCUUCUACGAGUCGAGUUGUUUGGGAAUGCAGCUCAAAAUGGGUGGUAAAUUUCAUCUAAAGCUAAAUAUUGGCGAGAGACCGAUAGCGCACAAGUAGAGUGAUCGAAAGAUGAAAAGCACUUUGAAAAUAGAGUCAAACAGUACGUGAAAUUGUUGAAAGGGAAGCGCUUGAGACCAGACUCAGCCUUUGGCAAACAAUUAUCCUUCUGGAUGGUGCACUUGCCCUUGGCUGGGCCAGCAUCAGUUAGGACGGUGGAAUAAAGGCUCGAGGAAUGUGACUCCACUGCGGAGUGUUAUAGCCUCGAGUGUCAUACUACCUGUCUUGACUGUGGACCGCGCUCCGGCUAGGAUGCUGGCGUAAUGGUCUUUAGCGGCCCGUCUUGAAACACGGACCAAGGAGUCUAACAUCUAUGCAAGUGUUUGGGCUGUAGACCCUCACGCGUAAUGAAAGUGAACGGGGGUGGGAACCCUGCAGGGGUGCACCAUCGACCGAUCCUGAUGUCUUCGGAUGGAUUUGAGUAGGAGCAUAGCUGUUGGGACCCGAAAGAUGGUGAACU
rnacentral:rRNA from 1 species